rnacentral:rRNA from 1 species
UACGGGGGGGGGCAAGCGUUGUUCGGAAUUACUGGGCGUAAAGGGCUCGUAGGCGGCCAACUAAGUCGGACGUGAAAUCCCCAGGCUCAACCUGGGAACUGCGUCCGAUACUGGAUGGCUUGAAUCCGGGAGAGGGAUGCAGAAUUCCAGGUGUAGCGGUGAAAUGCGUAGAUAUCUGGAGGAAUACCGGUGGCGAAGGCGGCAUCCUGGACCGGCAUUGACGCUGAGGAGCGAAAGCCAGGGGAGCAACGGG